ensembl:lncRNA
UGCCUGGGCACAGCUGAGCUGAAUAAUAUAAGCCAGGAGCUUCUGGUGGCCAUGCCUCCUGUGCCUGUCCUCGCAAGGAUGAAGUCAUCCCCAGUAAGAGAAAAUGAGGCCUGAGCACAGAGAAAAGUCAAGACGAGUGAUGGAGGUAACAGGAUGUGCAAUGGGACUGUUCCUGUUGUCCGGGAAUUCCAGCUAAAGGUCAGAGGCGAGGACAAAGAGGCUCUAAGCCAAGAAGCACACCACCUGCUGAAGCGAGCUGCCCACCAUGGCACACACUGCCUACCCGGGCUCACUAAAAGGUGACCUGCUGUCCCCAUCGCUCCUUCCUAAUCUGUACGAGAUGACUUGGGAAGGAGAAAAAGGGGAGACGGAGGCAGAAUCAUCUGUCCUGCGGGGAGGGCAGUGUUUGUGGUGAGAGGUGACCUUCCCCUAAGCCAAAUACUGGGACACUCUGGGGGUUCUGCCCAGAGAGGGGGCCCUGAGGGAAGGGGAGACUCGCCUUCUGUUCCCUGGUUGGCUAUUAUUUUCUAAUGUGCCCUUGGACUUACCGAAGGAAGGUGGAGGAGAAUGGGCACUGUUUCAGGAUGGGAAUGAGGCAAAGGGAGAGCUCCCUGCACUCCUACUGUUGCCCUGACAAGAAGGGAAGAAUUUCCAUUCGGGCUAAGUGGACAUCGUGGACGGUAGCUGGGCUUGGGCCCACAGGUCCUCCAGAGGACUCACCAGCAUUUGAAUGUCUGCCUCAGAGGGGGAGUCAGUCACUGUGAGCCCGAAACACAGUAACAGCGGGCCUAGAAAGGACGGCAGCUGUGGCCAGGUGGGUAAAGAUACUCUCGUCCAGUUUCCUCUCCUUCUGCCCACCCCAAACACACCAGUGAGCUUUGAAGCCAGAUACCCGAGGGUUACCAUAGAAAUGUGGAUGAAGACAGUGGGGACUGAAGUCAGGUUUCUGAGGGUUACUGUAGAUAUUCAAUGUGAACAUGAUUGCCUUUCACAAUUUGCUAUUUUCUUGUUUGAGCUGAGGGGUGACUCAGGGGUCAUGAGGACCUGUGAGCCUGUUUUGCUGAAGAGAGAACGCCUUCAGGGAGGUUGUGAUGACAGGAUGAUCAGCCCCCCAGUGGCUGUUGACGCCCAGAAGUCAGAUUGCCCAGGAGCUUCUCUACAGUGAAAGAAAUACGGACUUACCCUUCGUUUCUCCAAAACUCCUCCUGCCAAGCCCCUUGGCUCUGUAAAACGCCCUGCUUUCUUCUCUGGUUAAGGCAGAUUUAAGAGAACCUCUCCUCCCGCCUUCUUGUUUUGGUGAAUUCAAAUAAACCUUUCUCCGUCUCCAUGCAGGGAGGGCUCAGCGACUGACCUACUGCGCGUGGGUGUGUGAACUGGAGACUAAGAGGUUCCCUAUGGAGCGGGGCCUUGAAGAAGGGAGGGAGGGAUAGCUCAGAACCUGAUCACGCUCCUUCCCCAGCUUCAUUGCUAGCAGUCAGGAUUCCAGUUCAAGACCGCUCCAUGGAGGGCAGGGGAAAAGGGAGAAGAGGUUUUAAUCAUUUGAGAUUGAAGUCUAAAAGUAGACUGGACCUUUAAGAACCAGGAAGGGGAGUCUUCCUGUGUCUGGCCGGGCCUGUCUGCCCCCAGGGAGCGUUUCCCACCGCUUCCGACUCUGCCCUGCAGUGGGGAGGGGCCGGAUCCCCUGAGGCUGUGCUGCCCAGGCCCACAGGCCCGACUACCUGGCUUCUGGCUCCUUUGGUAGGUGAGGGACUGCAAGCAGGAGGAAGGGAGGAGUCAGGCAUUUUCCUUCCAUUCUCUCCAUCUCCAGUGCAGUUGCUGGCUGCCGGCUCUUCUUCUCUUCUGCCUCCAGGCUCAGUGCGGUCCAGCUUUUGCUGUUUGAGCCUCGCCUCUGGGCUGUGGGAACACGUCUUCCUCCAUUUGCCCCUCUGUUGAUAAUAUCUGGAUAGUCUUACUGUGCCCUGUUCAGCUUCUCAGCUUUUCCAUCACUUGUGUAACUUAUCAUCUGCAUCAAAUUCCCUCUGUUUCAAAUAUUUAAAGUGCUUUUUGUCUUUUGAGCGGACCUUAACUCAUCUAUUUCCCCAGAGGUUUAUAAGGGUCUAUGCUGUAAAGGACGCUGCUAUAAAUAUCGCAGAGUCGGGGAUAGCAUUUGUAAGAAAUCAAAUAGUUUUAUAUUAAUACCUUCAUCAAGACAUUUCAAUAGACUAGUUACAAACACCCCAACUCAAAUGUCAUCUCUUCAGAAGGGUAUCUCAGCAUCCCUCACCCCAGUCGCAUCCCAUUACCUUAUUUUGUGUUUUUUAAAGCCGUUUUCAGUACCUGAAUUCAUCUUAUCUAUUUAUUUGUGUCCAUGUGUAUUAUCUCCCUCCCCUCCCACUGGAAGAUAAGAUCCUUGAGGCCAGUAACUCUUGCUGUAUCCCUAUGCGCUCAAUAAUUAAUAACUGACCGGCCAGCAUCAGGACCUGGUGAAAUGGAGUAUGCGCCAUCCUGAGACGCUCCACCAGCAGCAGCGGGAUGUGAUAGUUCAUCCUCCUUUUUUUUGAGGAAUUGCUCCUAUCCCACCCAUAAAAAUAGCUAAGAAUGCAGAAUUUGUGGAGAGGAUCAAAGAUAUUAAGAUGUCACAUUUACUGUUGCUGCCAUGACUGAAGCCGAAAAGCAGCACAGAACCGUGCGGAGGGUGGGCCCUGACUUGGACCUGCCUCUAAGGAAGGGGUGAGCCUGGACUGCUGAGUGGGGGUGUAGGAGCUGCCUCUGUGUCUGCACCUUUAGCAGCCCUCUAGCCCAUCUCUGACUUCAGCCACGGCUGUGGUAGGCAGUUUCACUCUGCUUUUGCUGCUGGUGUUCCACCUGCAGACUCAUGCCACUUGUCUUUCUCCAUUCCACACUCAGACCUUCUCCCAAUGCCCGGAAGCUUUCUGGGCUGGCUUGCAAGCCCAGCUCAGAAGUGCAGAGGAGUUAAUACCCUAUAGGCAACCCUCAACCAACACAGAACGGUGGCUGAUGGACAAAUGCUCCAGCCUCCAGUCCAACAGGUGGACACUUUCGGGAGAUAUUCUGCACACUUCUCAGAGGUCCUGGUGGAAUUGAACUCCCACCGCUGACAGUAGUGACCUCAACAAUGCAUCCAUAGAUGAACUCUCCCCUUCUCUGUCUCACUCCCCCUGUCCCUUCACUCCUGCUUCCUGGGAUCACCUGUACCAAGUCUUGUCUCAGGCUCUGCUUUGGGGGACACUACAGUCUGGGAAAUGUUUGAUGUGGACACAAGCAGGACUAAUGGUGGAACUUCUAAGUUAGCCUCCCUCCUGCAUGUGGGAUGCCUUGAAGAAAGCUGCAGCGUAGAUGAAAAGGAAACGCUAUACCGUCUAACAGCUGGGACACCGGAGACCACGCGGUUCUGCUGCAGGCCCCAUAACCACCGAGGACACUAUGAGAAGCAGCACCCUUCCUCGAGCUCUGAGAAAGCACCCCUGCUUGGACCGACUGAGACCUGUGUCAGCGACAGCUGGGGCGGUGUGGGUGACAGGACUACCAGAACAGGGUGAUCCUGUCAGAGCCCCUCUCUUCAGGACUGCCAUGCCUUCAGCACAGCUCUCAGCAGCUCCAGCUCUCCACUAACAGCCAAUGGAGCGCCGACCAACACCUGGCAAGUGAAUCUGGCUGCGGGGACAUCCCUAAGGUCCCCUCCCCCAGCAGGUGUCCACAGAGCAACGCUGAGUAGGACUGAUUCCUGGGCAAAUGUAAGCAACCCUGGAAUAUUUGAAGGUAGAAUUAUUGAAAAAUAUUUGACCAAGACAAGGAUUGGACUUUGUGCUAAUUUGACACCUAGCAGAUCAGAGCUGUAAUUGAGGCUUAAAAAGAAACGUGAACCCAUUUUAUCAUCACAAGUUGGUAAAGUCAGGAAUGUAUUUUACAACCACUUUAUCAACAUUUACUCCAACAUUUCCCAAAACUCAUUCAUUUGCCUAGUAUCUAACAACUUACUAUCUGUACUAUUCGUUACUUAAUAUUUUUCUUUAAACCAAAACACUUUUUCAAACUUAAAUAUCCAAGUAAGCUUCAUACUGAAUGAAAAUAAAUGUGGAAUUAUGGAUCUGGUGCUACUUAUAUUUUUCUAACACAUAUGAAAACAAGCACAUAACUAUUAGAAAAAUCACCUCAAUUUAUAUGUGGUAUGCAUAUUUCACAUUGGGAAACAUCGAUUAGCCAUGACUAUAAGUUUUCCUGACUUUGUUUCUCAUUAGAUUGCUAAGGUAUUACAAUGCUUUUUGCUUUCUGAGAUCUUAAUUCUCCGUGAAUUUUCCUUUGGUCAUAAUUGUUCCGCAAAGGUUGUUUCUCAGAAAGAGUACUUUCGAUACUUGACAUUCCUGAAAGUAUCUCUCUUUUGUUCUCAGUUUGCCUACUGCAAAAUUUUAAUAUCAUAAUUCUCAAUCUACAGGAUUAUUUACAUAUUGCCCCAUUGUCUUCUAAUUUUUAACAUUGCAAAUGAGAACUCCAACGCCAGUUUGAAUCUCUUUCUGUAGGAAAGUUUAUAGGAUUUUUACAUUAUCCUUGAAAUUCAGAAAUUUUACCAGCUAUGUCCUUGGGUGGAAUUUUUGCAGCAAUUCUGCCCAGGACUCAGUGAACCACUUCAAUCCAUAGAUAAAACAUUUUUCAGCUCAGGAAAUUUUCUUUCGUUAUUUUGUUAAUUGACACUUCACUUCUACCCAUCGUUCUUACUUAUUCUAAGACUCCUGUUAUAUGAAUAUUGGAACAUUAUAUCCAUCUCUCUCUCUCUCUCUCUUUUUUUUUUUUUGAAGAUUAGCCCUGAGCUAACAUCUGCUGCCAAUCCUCCUCUUUUUUGCCGAGGAAGACUGGCCCUGAGCUGAUAUCCGUGCCCAUCUUCCUCUACCUCAUAUGUGGGAACCCCGCUACAGCCUGGCCUGUCAGGUGGUGCUUAGGUCCACACCGGGGAUGUGAACAGAUGAACCCCAGGCCUCUGAAGCAGAACGUGCAAACUUAACUGCUAUAUCACCCGGCUGGCCCCACCUCUCUCUUAUUUUUUAUCUCAUGAAUUUAUCUUUUUGUCUUUGUUCUGAGAAGAUUGUAUUAAUUCUUGUGAGUUUAUCUGAUAAUGCACUCAGUCAGUUUUCCAUAGUAUAUAUGCAUUUCUGUUUUAUUUUGGGGCACAUACAAUCAUGUAUUUUAUUUUCAAGGACUGUUUCUUGUUCUCCAUUUCAUGCUUUUCUUCUCCUCUAACAAUUCACUGAGAUACAAAUGCUGAUGAGGAUUUUAGGCUGGGUAAUUUUAAAAAACUGCAGAUGAGAAGCAGGCUCUGAGGACUGGAAUUUGCUUGCUCUUUGAGAGAUAUUUGCAUUUAUGAGGGAAGGGGGGAUGACCUUGUAGGGACCUGAAAUUGGCCACCCCAGGAUGUGUCUCUUUGGCAUCGGGAUUGUUUUGGGCUGAUCGCUUUCGAUAAACUGGGACAGGGAAGGAGGCUCUGGGGAAUGGAACUUGCCCUUCUUGGGACACAUUUAUGUUUGUAAGGUAAAUCUCUAUCUGUAAAAGGUGCCUCCCUCUCUGUACCAGGAAGAAGAAGGGAGAUGACCUUGUCCCUAGAAACUCUUAAUGGGGAAGGCAAGAACUUAAGUUGGUUGCUGUCUGGCAAUCUCAUGUAACUGAUUUAGGGUGGUGGCUUCUAACCUUUCUAACCUUUACUUAAUCCGAUUUGAUUCUUGUCUAAAAGUCAUGGAUCACCCAAUGACCAGACCCCACCUGCACUGAUACCAUUGUAACUUUUGUUCAUGUUCUUUCCUUUGUCUUGUAAAGAGAUGACUCACAUGCCCAUGCCUUAUAAAAUUAGCCCUAACCCUCAACUCGGGGCAGCAGCAGCGGCUCUGCCUGCCCAUGGGCCCUGUCCCCAUGCUAUUCCACACUAUUCUCUAAAUACAAGAGCACUACUGCCAGAUCUUGAGAGUCCAAGAAAUCUUUCUUUCGACUCCUCGGCUCACCGACCCCGCAUCAAUGCGAACUUUUUAAAAGUUAGCUCCUGCUGUCUGUAAUAUUUCUUUUUAAUUGGCUCUGAUUGGUCUGCUGGUUCUCGUUUUGAGGCUGCUUAAUCUCUUCAGAUGACUAACUGGUGCUUGUUGUUAUUCACUGAUAUUUAUAAAUACGACAGCCUAUAUUGAAAGGGAUUGAGAGCUCUUCUGAGCGCUGGCAGCAGAUGCACAGGUCACUAGGAGCUCUCCUCGCUGCUCCCAGCCCAUCUUUGCCUCCAGCCCCUGCUGGCAGUCACGUGGGCAUCAGCAUCAGGACAGAUGCACAGGCAGGCCCUGCUUUUGCUGUGGUUGUCAGAUAUCCAGUCAUACUGGGUUCACAUCUUCCAGAAAGUUCUUGAGGUUUCUGUCUAGUUGAUGUUCUUCCUUUUAACAGUAGUGUUUCAGGGCUUUUUUCCCCCUUAUUUUUAUUGUUUUCAUUAUUUCAGUAAGAUUUGGGAAGUUAUUGUAAGCUCAGAUUGUUAACUUGAAAUGAAGCCUGCGUGACUUCCCAUUAGAUUGAGUCAGAUAUGUGGGUUCUGCAGCACCAGCCCAUAGACCUCCAACUUCCCAUUGCUAGAGUCUACACCUCUUGGCCUGAGAGCUUUUCCUGGCAGCCUGAGCCCACUCUGCCUGGGCAUGGCGGGUCAGAAGUACCGGAAUUUAAUGCACUCCUGCCUUUCAGCGACUGGUGGGAGUUGGUGUAUAAAUAUCAUGGCUUCCCAGGCUCCUGGAUGGGAAACUCUGAGGUGCUCACUCCGCACCGGCUCCCAGAGUUCCCGAGAGGAGAGUGUGAUCUGCUCACCGACAUCAGUGGUGGCCAGAUGCCCCCUUUAAAGCCUGCCCUCCCUUCUCUGUCUCACUUCCCCACCUCACUACCCCUCCUGGUUUGUCCUGGGAUCACGUCCCACAUAAACUACUUACAAAUGAAUCCUCAUCUAAGGGGAACCCAAAUCAAAACAUCAACAGAGUGUGGCAGGCUUUUUAGAAAGUUCUUCCUUCUGGUGUGGAGAGGGAACUGGAAGGGAGAAGCUGGAGGCCAGGGGAUCAGCACGGAGGUGUGAGCAGCAGGCCCACAGAAGGUCAGAGAGGAGCCAGCUCCCCUUCGUCUCAAAGGAAGACCAGCACAUGCAGCCAAGCAAGAGCGUGCUGAGAUAUUUUUUAAGUAUUUUGACAUUUACAAGAGUAGAAGUGACCAUGAUGGAAAUAUCCAGACUUUGCUGAACUUCCUAGCACUUCCUUUAUUUAUUUUAUUAUUUGUUUUUAUUGUUGCUGUUGUUACUAUUACCAAGGAAGCGCUCAAUCAAUAUUUGUUGAAUGAAUGAAUAAAUAAACGACUCCUAGGCUUCUGG